UCUGUUCCCCCGUGUAUUCAAACCAACCCGCUCUUGUAUUUGCAUCAAAAUUUCAUUUUCAAUGAAAAAAAACAAAAAAUUUCAUUUUUUAAACAAAUGUAAAAUAAACUUUCAACAACGGAUCUCUUGGCUCUCGCAUCGAUGAAGAACGCAGCGAAAUGCGAUAUGUAGUGUGAAUUGCAGAACUUUGUGAACCAUCGAAUCUUUGAACGCAAAUUGCGCCCUUGUUUAGAGGGCAUGUCUGUUUGAGGGCCACCUUAAUCAAAUAAUGCACGGCUAGUUGUUUGCUUGUGCGUGCACGUUGAUGGACUUUCCGAUGGAAUCUUUUGCGAUGACGUCGGUAGUUCGUAAUGAAGACACGACAUGUGGAGGCUUUCGAUCGAGUGUAGUAAGCAUUUAACUGAUUUCGACACUUGAUGGUUGGGAGUUCUUCGGUCGUGACAUGGGCGUGGCGACGAACUGCCACUCUUCCCCUCGGGAAGACUAGUUUUUCUCGUGGGCCUCGGAUCAGACAAGAAUACCCGCUGAACUUAAGCAUAUCAAUAAGCGGAGGAAAAGAAACUAACAAGGAUUCCCCUAGUAACGGCGAGUGAAGCGGGAAAAGCUCAAAUUUUAAAUCUGACUGACCUGAUUUCAGUCCGAGUUGUAUUUUGAAGAAGCGCGUCGCGCUU
rnacentral:rRNA from 1 species